rnacentral:rRNA from 1 species
GACCUCAAAUCAGGUAGGACUACCCGCUGAACUUAAGCAUAUCAAUAAGCGGAGGAAAAGAAACUAACAAGGAUUCCCCUAGUAACUGCGAGUGAAGCGGGAAAAGCUCAAAUUUAAAAUCUGUCAGUCUUUGGCUGUCCGAGUUGUAAUCUAGAGAAGUGUUAUCCGCGCUGGACCGUGUACAAGUCUCCUGGAAUGGAGCGUCAUAGAGGGUGAGAAUCCCGUCUCUGACACGGACUACCAGGGCUUUGUGAUGCGCUCUCAAAGAGUCGAGUUGUUUGGGAAUGCAGCUCAAAAUGGGUGGUAAAUUCCAUCUAAAGCUAAAUAUUGGCGAGAGACCGAUAGCGAACAAGUACCGUGAGGGAAAGAUGAAAAGAACUUUGGAAAGAGAGUUAAACAGUACGUGAAAUUGCUGAAAGGGAAACGCUUGAAGUCAGUCGCGUUGUCCAGGGAUCAACCUUGCUUUUGCUUGGUGUACUUUCUGGUUAACGGGUCAGCAUCAAUUUUGAUCAUUGGAAAAAGGUUAGGGGAAUGUGGCAUCUUUGGAUGUGUUAUAGCCCUUGAUUGCAUACAAUGGUUGGGAUUGAGGAACUCAGCACGCCGCAAGGCCGGGUU